CCUACGGGAGGCAGCAGUGAGGAAUAUUGGUCAAUGGACGAGAGUCUGAACCAGCCAAGUAGCGUGAAGGAUGACUGCCCUAUGGGUUGUAAACUUCUUUUAUAUGGGAAUAAAAUAUUCCACGUGUGGGAUUUUGUAUGUACCAUAUGAAUAAGGAUCGGCUAACUCCGUGCCAGCAGCCGCGGUAAUACGGAGGAUCCGAGCGUUAUCCGGAUUUAUUGGGUUUAAAGGGAGCGUAGGUGGAUUGUUAAGUCAGUUGUGAAAGUUUGCGGCUCAACCGUAAAAUUGCAGUUGAAACUGGCAGUCUUGAGUACAGUAGAGGUGGGCGGAAUUCGUGGUGUAGCGGUGAAAUGCUUAGAUAUCACGAAGAACUCCGAUUGCGAAGGCAGUUCACUGGAAUGCAACUGACACUGAGGCUCGAAAGUGUGGGUAUCAAACAGGAUUAGAUACCCUUGUAGUC
rnacentral:rRNA from 1 species